rnacentral:rRNA from 1 species
AUCACUGGGCUCAGGAUGAACGCUAGCUACAGGCUUAACACAUGCAAGUCGAGGGGCAGCAUGGUCUUAGCUUGCUAAGGCCGAUGGCGACCGGCGCACGGGUGAGUAACACGUAUCCAACCUGCCGUCUACUCUUGGACAGCCUUCUGAAAGGAAGAUUAAUACAAGAUGGCAUCAUGAGUUCNCAUGUUCACAUGAUUAAAGGUAUUCCGGUAGACGAUGGGGA